rnacentral:rRNA from 1 species
GGUAAUGCCGGAUGCUCCAUCACACCGCAUGGUGUGUUGGGAAAGCCUUUGCGGCAUGGGAUGGGGUCGCGUCCUAUCAGCUUGAUGGCGGGGUAACGGCCCACCAUGGCUUCGACGGGUAGCCGGCCUGAGAGGGCGACCGGCCACAUUGGGACUGAGAUACGGCCCAGACUCCUACGGGAGGCAGCAGUGGGGAAUAUUGCACAAUGGGCGCAAGCCUGAUGCAGCGACGCCGCGUGAGGGAUGGAGGCCUUCGGGUUGUAAACCUCUUUUGUUAGGGAGCAAGGCAUUUUGUGUUGAGUGUACCUUUCGAAUAAGCACCGGCUAACUACGUGCCAGCAGCCGCGGUAAUACGUAGGGUGCAAGCGUUAUCCGGAAUUAUUGGGCGUAAAGGGCUCGUAGGCGGUUCGUCGCGUCCGGUGUGAAAGUCCAUCGCUUAACGGUGGAUCCGCGCCGGGUACGGGCGGGCUUGAGUGCGGUAGGGGAGACUGGAAUUCCCGGUGUAACGGUGGAAUGUGUAGAUAUCGAAG